AGUGAACGCUGGCGGUAGGCCUAACACAUGCAAGUCGAACGGCAGCACAGUAAGAGCUUGCUCUUACGGGUGGCGAGUGGCGGACGGGUGAGGAAUAUAUCGGAAUCUACUUUUUCGUGGGGGAUAACGUAGGGAAACUUACGCUAAUACCGCAUACGACCUACGGGUGAAAGCAGUGGAUCUUCGGACCUUGCGCGAUUGAAUGAGCCGAUGUCGGAUUAGCUAGUUGGCGGGGUAAAGGCCCACCAAGGCGCCGAUCCGUAGCUGGUCUGAGUGGAUGAUCAGCCACACUGGAACGGGGACACGGUCAAGACUCCUACGGGAGGCAGCAGUGGGGAAUAUUGGGCAAUGGGCGCAAGCCUGAUCCAGCCAUACCGCGUGGGUGAAGAAGGCCUUCGGGUUGUAAAGCCCUUUUGUUGGGAAAGAAAAGCAGCAGGUUAAUACCCCGCUGUUCUGACGGUACCCAAAGAAUAAGCACCGGCUAACUUCGUG
rnacentral:rRNA from 1 species